AAUGAACGCUGGCGGCGCGCCUAAUACAUGCAAGUCGAGCGAGAAGACGUAGCAAUACGUUUGUAAAGCGGCGAACGGGUGAGGAAUACAUGGGUAACCUACCCUAGAGUGGGGAAUAACUAGCCGAAAGGUUAGCUAAUACCGCGUACGCUCCUUGGACUUCGGUUCAGGGAGGAAAGCGAUGCCGAGGGUAUCGCGCUCUUGGAUGGGCUCAUGUCCUAUCAGCUUGNGGUGAGGUAACGGCUCACCAAGGCUUCGACGGGUAGCUGGUCUGAGAGGACGAUCAGCCACACUGGCACUGCGACACGGGCCAGACUCCUACGGGA
rnacentral:rRNA from 1 species